CUAUUCCCAUUGGCUGGUCCUACGGCCACGUGUCUUACCUGGUGUUUGUCUCCCUAUAAAAGCUGACGUCUUCUUUCCUCCUGUCCCAGUCCAUUUGGCGGAUUUGGGCCGCAGUGGCACACACACAACAAAGAAGUCAACCCUUCACUCCAUCAGCUCCUCCUCCACCACUAAAGAGACAAGACACAUUCCUCCGAGGACAGCUGUCUGCUGCUCCCUCCAGCAGCUCAGACCUUCCGCUCAAUGAUGUCAGACUUAGAGUCGUGGAGAUAUGCAGCACAGAAACAGACCCUUCAGUCCAACUCAGACAUCCUAUAUAAAACUAGUCCCAUUUGGCCCAUGUCCCUCUAAACCGUUCGUAUUCAUAUACCCAUCCAGAUGCCUUUUAAAUAUUGUAUUCGCACCAGCUUCCACUACUUCCUCUGGCAGCUCAUUCCAUACACGCACCACCUUCUGCGUGAAAAUGUUGUCCCUUAGGUCCCUUUUAUAUCUUUCCCCUCUCACCUUAAACCUAUGCCCUGUAAUUUUGGGACUCCCCCACCCCAGGGAAAAGACCUUGCCUAUUUACCCUAUUCAUGUCUCUCUUGAUUUUAUAAACCUCUAUAAAGGUCACCCCUCAGCCUACUACGCUCCAGGGAAAAUAGCCCCAGUUUGCUGAGUUUCUCCAGCCAUUUCUGUUUUUGUUACAAUGAAGUGCUCAGUGAUUGCUGGAAAUGCCUGCAGACUUGCACUCCAUCACUUUAGCACUUUAAUAGUCAGCAAAGCAGGGGGUAGGUAAGGGAUGUUGGCUUCACUUACAGUGCCCCUUCCUCUCACGUAGGCAGGAUGGUCGCACCAGGCAUCCAGGUGGCACUGUAGCCACAGAGAAGUCACCUUUCAGGAUAUCCCAGAUCCUUCCACCACAACCAUGCCUGAAAUCACUAACGUUGCAACUGAGGAGGGUAAACCUGAUUUUGGUCAGGGGACACUCAGCAUGUCUGAGCUCUCUAGCCACAAAUAACCCACAGUCAUCCAUCCAAAUCUUGAAGACCACCAGGGUCCACUUCAGCGCAGGCUCCUUCCAACCAAACCGCAGACCCUAAGGUUGCACCAAGACAUAGUGGAGGGCAAGGAGAAAAAAAUGAGAUGAGGGCACAUAGUUAGCAUAGAUGACACAUCAUUGAAAAUACAAUUUCACAUCUAAGUAUUUUUGCAUUUUCAAUUGUCACAUGCCUGAUCAACUGUAAUUUGAGCUGUAGGACUAGGUUAUAUGAUGACCAUGUCAAUACUAAGUAGCCCCUUCAUUCAUCUCAAGGAGAGGCAUUGCUUACCUCUGAGAAGCAAAAUGCAGAGCAACAUAACUUCUUUCAGUUCUUAUAUUCACGAGUGCAGCCACGACUUAACACAUUAAUGAGAAGAUCAUUAAGGCCAAAGCCAAGCACCUUGUAAUAGGUCCUUUCCUCCAUCAUGCUCCACACUUAUGGCCACUUUUUACAUGUGACUAUGUAAUUAUUCAUGAGCGCACACACUUCUGGAGGCAAAGAUUCAUUCUAACUACGAGUUUUACAAGGGAGUACACAGUCAUUCAAGGAUCGGCAGUGUCCAAUAAUCCUUUAAAAUCAAGACCCUGCCUCAUAAGAAUCAAGUCAACUCAGAUGUUGUGACCCUCUGAGAUCUGAAUGAAGUGGCAGUGUGGUUUAAAAAGAGCAAGGUAGAGAUGCUGUGAGCAUCCAAAAGAACCUGGUGCAUAGUGCCUGGGAGAGAGCCCAAAUAGGAAGAGGUCGCUGCUACAUUCAGAUAUCACCCACUGGAGGAGGUAAAAAUGCAUCUUGCCAACACAGAUUAUAAGGAAGUCUGCCCUGGCAAAAAAGGCUCUCAUGCUGGAUCUGGAGAUUAUAAAAUGUUGUGAUCCAUAGAAAACCACCAGUCUUUAAGAAGAUAUCUAGAUUUCCAGUGACUGACUUGCAAGGCAUAUUUUAAUGCUUUCAGUGUAUCAAACAAACUAAAAGUAACAUUGAGUAAAGAACAA